rnacentral:rRNA from 1 species
UACGAAGGGGGCAAGCGUUGUUCGGAAUGACUGGGCGUAAAGGGCGCGUAGGCGGUUCGUUGCGUCAGAUGUGAAAGCCCCGGGCUCAACCUGGGAACUGCAUUUGAUACGGGCGGGCUUGAAUCCAAGAGAGGGUGGUGGAAUCCCCAGUGUAGAGGUGAAAUUCGUAGAUAUUGGGAAGAACACCAGUGGCGAAGGCGACUUCCUGGCCUGUUCUUGACGCUGAGGCGCGAAAGCUAGGGGAGCAAACGGG